rnacentral:rRNA from 1 species
GACGAACGCUGGCGGCGUGCUUAACACAUGCAAGUCGAGCGGUAAGGCCCUUUCGGGGGUACACGAGCGGCGAACGGGUGAGUAACACGUGGGUGACCUGCCCUCAGCUCUGGGAUAAGCCUGGGAAACUGGGUCUAAUACCGGAUAUGACUCCAUGACGCAUGUUGUGGGGUGGAAAGCCUUGUGCGGCUGAGGAUGGGCCCGCGGCCUAUCAGCUUGUUGGUGGGGUGAGGCCUACCAAGGCGACGACGGGUAGCCGGCCUGAGAGGGCGACCGGCCACACUGGGACUGAGACACGGCCCAGACUCCUACGGGAGGCAGCAGUGGGGAAUCUUGCGCAAUGGGCGAAAGCCUGACGCAGCGACGCCGCGUGAGGGAUGAC